GCUUAACCGAAGAAGUGCAUCGGAAACUGGGUGACUUGAGUGCAGAAGAGGACAGUGGAACUCCAUGUGUAGCGGUGGAAUGCGUAGAUAUAUGGAAGAACACCAGUGGCGAAGGCGGCUGUCUGGUCUGCAACUGACGCUGAGGCUCGAAAGCAUGGGUAGCGAACAGGAUUAGAUACCCUGGUAGUCCAUGCCGUAAACGAUGAGUGCUAGGUGUUGGAGGGUUUCCGCCCUUCAGUGCCGGAGCUAACGCAUUAAGCACUCCGCCUGGGGAGUACGACCGCAAGGUUGAAACUCAAAGGAAUUGACGGGGGCCCGCACAAGCGGUGGAGCAUGUGGUUUAAUUCGAAGCUACGCGAAGAACCUUACCAGGUCUUGACAUCUUGCGCUAACCUAAGAGAUUAGGCGUUCCCUUCGGGGACGCAAUGACAGGUGGUGCAUGGUCGUCGUCAGCUCGUGUCGUGAGAUGUUGGGUUAAGUCCCGCAACGAGCGCAACCCUUGUUACUAGUUGCCAGCAUUCAGUUGGGCACUCUAGUGAGACUGCCGGUGACAAACCGGAGGAAGGUGGGGAUGACGUCAGAUCAUCAUGUCCCUUAUGACCUGGGCUACACACGUGCUACAAUGGUCGGUACAACG
rnacentral:rRNA from 1 species